GACAGAGGAUGCAAGCGUUUAUUCGGAAUGAUUGGGCGUAAAGCGUCUGUAGGUGGCUUUUUAAGUCCGCCGUCAAAUCCCAGGGCUCAACCCUGGACAGGCGGUGGAAACUACCAAGCUGGAGUACGGUAGGGGCAGAGGGAAUUUCCGGUGGAGCGGUGAAAUGCGUAGAGAUCGGGAAGAACACCAGUGGCGAAGGCGGCCGGCUGGGGGCGCCCUGACGCUGAGGCGCGAGAGCGUGGGGAGCGAACCGG
rnacentral:rRNA from 1 species